GUUGAACGCUGGCGGCGUGCCUUAUACAUGCAAGUCGAGCUGCCACACGAGGACCUUCCUCCUCUCAUGUUACCGCCGGACGAGUGAUUCACCCGUGCAUACCCUACCUAUAAGACUUACAUAGCUUCGGUUACCCUGAUCUCAUACCCUAUCUUAUAUUGAACCCCAUGGUUCUUUAGUCCUAUCCCGUUUUGCUCUCCCUUAUUGAUGUAUCCGCGCCGCAUUAGCUAGUUGGUAAGGUAACGGCUUACCAAUGCAACGAUGCGUAGCCGACCUGAGAGGGUGAUCGGCCACACUGGAACUGAGACACGGUCCAGACUCCUACGGGAGGCAGCAGUAGGGAAUCUUGCGCAAUGGGCGAAAGCUUGACGGAGCAACGCCGCGUGAGUGAUGAAGGUCUUCGGAUCGUAAAACUCUGUUAUUAGGGAAGAACAAAUGUGUAAGUAACUAUGCACGUCUUGACGGUACCUAAUCAGAAAGCCACGGCUAACUACGUG
rnacentral:rRNA from 1 species